AGCAGCCGCGGUAAUUCCAGCUCCAAUAGCGUAUAUUAAAGUUGUUGCAGUUAAAAAGCUCGUAGUUGAACUUCAGGCCUGUCCAGACGGUCCGCCUUAAUUGGUGUGUACUGUCCUUGGGUGGGUCCUACCUUCUGGCGAAGCGGCAUGGCCUUAAUUGGUUGUGUCGGGGAACCAGGACUUUUACUGUGAAAAAAUUAGAGUGUUCAAAGCAGGCAAAUAUGCUCGAAUACAUUAGCAUGGAAUAAUGGAAUAGGACGAUGGUUCUAUUUUGUUGGUUCUAGGACCGUUGUAAUGAUUAAUAGGGAUAGUUGGGGGCAUUAGUAUUCAAUUGUCAGAGGUGAAAUUCUUGGAUUUAUUGAAGACUAACUACUGCGAAAGCAUUUGCCAAGGAUGUUUUCAUUAAUCAAGAACGAAAGUUAGGGGAUCGAAGACGAUCAGAUACCGUCGUAGUCUUAACCAUAAACUAUGCCGACUAGGAAUCGGGCGAUGUUGACAAAAUGACUCGCUCGGCACCU
rnacentral:rRNA from 1 species